AGGGUUUGAUCAUGGCUCAGAACGUACGCUGGCGGCACGCCUAACACAUGCAAGUCGAACGAAGUAGCAAUACUUAGUGGCAGACGGGUGAGUAACAUGUAGGUAUCUGCCCUUUGGCCUGGAAUAACACGAGGAAACUUGUGCUAAUACCGGAUAAGUCUUUACGGAGAAAGCUUUAUGCACCAUUGGAUGAGCCUGCACUUGAUUAGUUUGUUGGUGGGGUAAUGGCCUACCAAGACUGUGAUCAAUAGCUGAUUUGAGAGGAUGAUCAGCCACAUUGGGACUGAGACACGGCCCAAACUCCUACGGGAGGCAGCAGUGGGGAAUCUUGCACAAUGGAGGAAACUCUGAUGCAGCGAUGCCGCGUGAGUGAAGAAGGCCCUUGGGUUGUAAAGCUCUUUCGUCGGGGAAGAAAAUGACUGUACCCGAAUAAGAAGGUCCGGCUAACUUCGUGCCAGCAGCCGCGGUAAUA
rnacentral:rRNA from 1 species